UCAGACAUGGUGUAGUUGGAACGCGGUCUCCUCUUAUGCUUGUUCAACUCAGGUAUUGAGAGACAGUCCAGGGUUCGAAUCCCUGUGUCUAAA